rnacentral:lncRNA from 1 species
AGGAGCCGGAGCGCAGCUCACAUCCCGGGCAGCUCGCCCCACAGGCGCCUACGCCGGCCGCCACGCCGGCCAAUCAGCGCCGGGCUCGGGCAGGCUCCGCCCCUCAUCUCCUCUUCCCGGGUUCCGAGGCCUGCAGCCAUCUUGGAGAAGGGCGGGUGAAGCCGUAGCCGAGCGUUCUCGUCAAACAGGGCUGAGCUCUGGAUCUCACUACGCCGCGAACUCGGAUUUUAGAUGCCUAUGAAGUGAUUAGAGCCAGACUUGGUGGCACACACGUGUCAAAAUCACAGCAUUUGGGAGGCUGAGGCAGGAGGAUCGCUGCGAGUUGAGGCCAGCCUGGGCUACAUAGUAAGUUCAAGAAAAAAAAUGCAAAGAAGAAAGGGCUGGAGAGAAGAAGGAAAUCCAAGGGCUACUGAAUCUUUUGCUGGCACCAGCCCCUGCCCAUGCAGUCCUCAGCUGGUCAGGCCUUAAAUAUCAAGAUAUCAAGACGCACUGGUGAAGCCCACUUCCGAAGUCUCUAGGUCACAACCCUCUCUGAACCCUGGGCUUCUCUACCAAUGGUCUACCAGUCCCUGAAGGCACCUAAAAGCUGAGUUCCCAGGCUGCGGAUGUAGCUCAGAGGAUCCAGCCACUGUGGACAAACAGCCAUCAUCCUGCACUUUGCGUUUUUUUUUUUUUUUUAAACUAGGAUUGAACCCAGGACCUUCACACCGAGCUAUAUCCCAGCUGUUUUUGAUUUAUUUUGAGACAAGUUAUCACUAAAUUGUUAAAUUCCCCAGGCUGGGCCAGAAUUUGUGAUCAUUCCGUCUCAGAGUCCCACACUGUUGGGAUUACAGGCUUGCACUGCCAUGCACAGCUUCACCUGGAUUAUUUUAAUGACGUAGGGGAUUUCUUGCCUCACUUCUGUCUAAUUAGGUUGGCUUACCACAUAGGAUUUUUUAAAAACUAUGUCAAAAUCUGUCAGUUGUUUACUAAAAACACCUCAGUAGUCCCCUCCUCACUCAAAACAGAAAAUGUCUGAAUGGAAGGGCCUACAGAACCUAGGACUUUCCUUUAGUCUCCUCUGGUCUCAGGCACCAGCUUCCACCUCCUGCUCUAGCCACCACAUCCUGCUCAGGACCUUUGCACUUCCCAGGACCCAGACCUCUCUGCCCUCUAAUAGCUACACUGACAGGGCUUGCUCCCUCCCCACAGGUCUGUGU